AAAAGUUCGUUCGAUUUUUCCU
rnacentral:miRNA from 1 species